CACAUGACCACGUCGGCCACCUUCCCCGAAUCAAGAAUCAUUCGUGCAUCGUGCACCCCCAUUAGCCCCUUCUGAAGAAAAGCAAAGAGAACCCUAGCCCUAGGAUCCUUGCCGCCGCCGUCCCCAGGUUCUCGGCGCCUCCACUUCUUCUUCUCGCUGUUCGGAACCCAGGUAGCUUGGUUCGUCAUCCCCAUCUUCCCUGUCUUCUCUGUUCGUGGCUUGGAGCAGCUCGCCGUUGGGUCGCCGCUUGCUGUCGCCUUGCCUAUUGUCGUCGUCUCGUCGGUUUCCAUCCGUGUCUCCGUCGAAGGUUCAGUAUUGGCUUCAACUUUCAAAUAGGAAUUGGGAGCUGGUGAAGAUAACAACAUCUUCUGGAACUGAGUCUGUUGUUUCACUGCCUGAUGGAAAAGGUUAGAUCGGUUGGACCAGUAAAACAGUGAACCAGUGACUAAAACGAUUCGAUGAUCGGUUCGGUUUUCAGAACCUUGCAUAUAAAUACACACAUGACACGUCAGCACUUUGUGGGGCACUAGUCUCUUGCAAUAACAACCACUCUCUGGAAAAAAAAAUGCCUUGCAUUGGGUCCAAACUUAUCCAUCUUAAUUUCAUUUUAUAUGAUAAAAAGUACCUAAUUAAUCAUAUGUAUAUAUUAAAAGAAUUAUUUUUAUAUUUACCAC